GCGCAUGCGCGCGCAUGCGCACGAGUCAACAGCGUCAACUUGACUAAAACAACACGGAAUCGUCCUACCGAUCAGCUGUUUAAGAAGAAAACUGUGAAAACGUUUGCAGAAAACUUCAUCACUGAGGAAUCCACAGAGGUCGUCACCACAGCGGAGGCUUUGCAUGAAUACAGGAAGCAGAUUGCCUGUAGCUACUACAAAAUCCGGGUCUGUGUAAAAAUGCUUGGAUAAUCUGUUGCCACAAUGUGGUGCAGUGUGGGACUUGUCAUCGGUGGGCCCAUUUGGAAUGGGCCAAGUACACCGACGAAGAAAAUUACACCUGUCCAAAAUGCUUGGCAUUGAAUAAAUGCAGAAUAAAAAAG